rnacentral:rRNA from 1 species
AGAGUUUGAUUCUGGCUCAGGAUGAACGCUGGCGGCGUGCCUAACACAUGCAAGUCGAGCGAAGCAAUGUUAAGGAAGUUUACGGAUGGAAUUAAGAUUGACUGAGCGGCGGACGGGUGAGUAACGCGUGGGUAACCUGCCUCAUACAGGGGGAUAACAGUUAGAAAUGACUGCUAAUACCGCAUAAGCGCACAGGACCGCAUGGUCCGGUGUGAAAAACUCCGGUGGUAUGAGAUGGACCCGCGUCUGAUUAGUUAGUUGGCGGGGUAGCGGCCCACCAAGACGACGAUCAGUAGCCGACCUGAGAGGGUGACCGGCCACAUUGGGACUGAGACACGGCCCAAACUCCUACGGGAGGCAGCAGUGGGGAAUAUUGCACAAUGGGGGAAACCCUGAUGCAGCGACGCCGCGUGAGUGAAGAAGUAUUUCGGUAUGUAAAGCUCUAUCAGCAGGGAAGAAGUUGACGGUACCUGAGUAAGAAGCCCCGGCUAACUACGUGCCAGCAGCCGCGGUAAUACGUAGGGGGCAAGCGUUAUCCGGAUUUACUGGGUGUAAAGGGAGCGUANACGGCAGUGCAAGUCUGAAGUGAAAGCCCCGGGCUUAACCCGGGAACUGCUUUGGAAACUGUACGGCUGGAGUGCUGGAAAGGUA